rnacentral:lncRNA from 1 species
ACAGAGAGAGACAGUCUCAUUCUGCCACCCAGGCUGGAGUGCAGCAGCACAAUCUUGUGUCAUUGCUAACUCUACCUCCCAGGUUCAAGUGAUUUUAAUGCCCCAGCCUCCUGUGUAGCUGGGAUUACAGGUGUGCACCACCAUGCAUCCAUCCAUCUUUCUUUCUUUCUUUCUUUCUUUCUUUCUUUCUUUCUUUCUUUCUUUCUUUCUUUCUUUCUUUCUUUCUUCUUUCUUUCCUUUUCUUCUCUUUCUUUCUUCUUUCUUUCUUCUUUCUUUCUUUCUUUUUCUUUCUUCUUUCUUCUUUUUUUCUUUCUUCUUUCUUUCUUUCUUUUUUUGUAUUUUAGUAGAGAUUGAGUUUUGCCAUGUUUUCCAGGCUGAUCUCAAACUUCUGAUUACAAAAAAUCCACCUGCCUCAGCCUCCCAAAGCAUUGGAAUUACAGGCAUGAGCCAUCACAGCUGUCUACAAUAUACUUUUACAUUUAUGAUUUAGGUGAUGUGUUCUUCUCUUUCUGUCAGGUGCGGGAUGGUUAAAUAUCACUGGACCUAGCACCUAGGGAAUGUGACUCUUGUCUUUUGCAUCAGCCCCACUCGUUUUGAGAACUGUAACAUAUCACUGGGCCAAACACCUAGAAGAUGGGAAGUGUCUGCCUAUGCCCUGCAAACAGGGCUUUAGCCCUACCACUCUCAAGAGCCUCGUGACAUAUCUCUGCAUUCAUCAUCUAGGAGAUGUGACUCCUCCCUGCUGCCUGCGCUCUGCCUACAGGGAAGACCAUAACAACAUUUGGCCCAGCAACACGGUGAUGUGUUUUUUCCCAGGGCCUUGCUCACAGGGAGCAUUGUGACAUAUCACUGGAACCAGCAUCCAGGGCUGUGACUCUGUGUCCUGCUGUUAGAACAGGAUUGUAACAUAUCACUGACCAAGCACCCAGGUGAUGUGACUCUUCUGCCUGGUGCCUGCCUUCAGGGAAAAUUGUGACAUAUGCCUGGCCUAGCACCAAAGUGAUGUGGCUCUCCUGCUACCUCUAUGCACAGAUGGGUUGGUGAUGCUCAGACAAAUAUUCAGCACACCUGUGAGUCUGCGACUCCAGUAAUCAUCCACAGUCUGCAGGAGAAAUUGAGGCUCUCACCAACAAAUCAAGUGCACAAUUGAGAUUGCGACUCUUGUACUCAGACCCAACAUACAGAAUGUGUUGACUCUCAAUUUUAAAACCAGAACAUGUGUGAGAUUAUUAAUCUGAUCUCUAAACCAUCCUGCAAGUGUGAUUGUGACACAAGUCUCUGUUCAGUACUUGAGUGAUUUGACUCCUUUGCCUGGGCCCAGUCCAAAGAUGUAAUUGUGACAUAUCACUGAAACCAGCAUAUAGGAGAUGUGUCUCCAUACUCCUGCCUUGGUGCUGCCCACAGUGGGCACUGUGACAUAUCACUGGGCCUUGUAUCCAAGUGAUGUAAGUCUCUUCUUUCUUGAUACUGACCACAGGAGACACUAUGACAUAUCCCUGGGCCUCAAGCUCAGCUUAUGUCAUUCUCCUAUUUGUUCUCUGUCCACAUGGGCCAUUGUGACAUACUGCUGAGUUUGGCAUCCAUGUGAUAUAACACUUCAGCCUCAGCUUUGCUCACUUGGGGCAUUGUGAUGUAUCUCUGCACCCAUCACUUAGAUGAUUCAACUCUUUUCUUCUGUCUCAUCUGUGCUUAAAACGGGCAAUUGUUACCUAUUGCUGGGUCCAGCAUGUAGCUGAUGUGUCUCUUCUCAUCUUCCUAAGGACUGCCUGCAGGGGAUAUGGUGACAUUUUACUUUGCCCAGCACCAAGAUGACUUGAAUCUGCUGCCUUUGUUCUACUUUCAGAAGACAUUGUGACAUAUCGCUGGGCCUAGCACCAAGGUGAUGUGAAUCUUCUGCCUGGACCUGCUCACAGAGGGAAUUGUUACAUAUUUUUGACUUCAUCAACUAUUUGAUGUGACUCUCCUCUCUAACCUGGGCCUUGCCCAUAAAAAACAUUGUGGCUUAUCUCUGGGCCCAAAACCUAGGUGAUGUGACUGUCUUCUUAGGGUCAUGCCCACAGUAGAGAGAUGCCUUAUUGCUAAACCCAGCACACAGGUGAGGUGAUUCUUCUGUCUGGUCCCUGCCCACAGGGGUCAUGAUGACAUCUCUCUAAGCCCAUCACCUAGAUUAUGUGAGUUCUCUUUUUCUUCUGUUAGCUAUAUAGAAGAUUGUGACAUAUUGCUUGGCCCAGACCUCAUGUGAUGUGAAUCUCCUCUCAUGCCUUGGUCCUGUUUUUUUUUGGCCGUUGUUGUUUUGUUUUGUUUUUUGAGAUGGAGUCUUGCUCUGUUGCCUAAGCUGGAGUGCAGUGGCAUAAUCUAGGCUCACUGCAACCUCUGCCUCCUGGGUUCAAGUUAUUCUCCUGCCUCAGCCCCUGAAUAGCUAGGAUUAAAGGUGAGUGCCACCACACUCAGCUAAUUUUUGUAUUUUUAGUAGAGAUGGGGUUUCACCAUGUUGAUUAGGCUGGUAUUGAACUCCUGACUUCGUGAUCAACUCGCCUCUGCCUCCCAAACUUUUGGGAUUACAGGCAUGAGCCACCAUGCCCAGUCAAGAUGAUGAUACAUUUCUAAACCCAGGUUAUAGGCAGGUGAGGGUUCUUCUACCUAUACACACGUUUAAAGGGAUGUUGAAUCUCACACGUGGUCUCAGGGCCACAGGUACAAGCAUGGGUCUUCACCAGCAUGAAUAUCUCAGAGCAUACUGCGACUCUCCAGUGUAAUGUAUAAAGCUCUCAGGUGGGACAGUGUCCUAACAGGAUCCAGAACACAGAAAAGAUGUUGAUGCUCCUAUGCACACCCAGGUCACAGUAAAAUAUGUCAUUUUCCCACAUAAUCAUAGCCCAAUGUUGAGAUUCUGCAUCUCACACCUGAAAGAAGUUGAAAGAUGGAAAAUUGACUCUCUUAUAUAGAUCUGGUCUACAGGUAGGUUGGUGACAUUCAGAUCAAAAUUAAGUACACUUGUGAGGCUAUAACUCUUCUAAGAAGACACAGCUCACAGGAGCAACUGAUGCUCCUAUGAACAAAUCCAGUCCGUGAUUGAGAUUCUAACUCAUGUACUUAUUGUCAGGCCUCUGAGCCCAAGCUAAGCCAUCAUAUCCCCUGUGACCUGCACGUAUACAUCCAGAUGGCCUGAAGCAACCGAAUAUCCACAAAGGAAGUGAAAAUAGCCGUAACUGAUGACAUUCCACCAUUGUGAUUUGUUCCUGCCCCACCCUAACUGAUACGAUAUAUUCUCCCUCUGCCCUGAAGAAGGUACUUUGUAAUAGUCUCCCCCCACCUUAAAAAGGUACUUUGUAAUAUUCUCCCCACCCGUGAGAAUGUACUUUGUACACCUAUCCCAAACCUAUAAGAACUAAUGAUAAUCCCACCACGCUUUGCUGACUCCUUUUUUGGACUCAGCCCACCUGCACCCAGGUGAAAUAAACAGCCUUGUUGCUCACACAAAGCCUGUUUGGUGGACUCUCUUCACAGGGAUGUGCAUGACACUUAGACCCAACAUACAGCAGGUGUUGACUCUAAUGACUAGAACCAGGACUUAUGCUAGAUUGUUAAUCUCAUCCCUGAAAUUUUCUGCAGAUGUCAUUGGGACAUACACCUGUGCCCAACAGCUGAGUGAUUUGUCUCUCUUGCUUGGUCACAGCUCACAGGGGCCAUUGUAAAAUACUGCUGAUCCUGUUAUCCAGGUGAUGUGAGUCCCCUCACCUGCUUUGGCACUGCCCACAGGGAACAUUAUGACAUAUGACUGGGACCUGCACCCAGGUUAUGUGACUUUUAUGUUUGUGCUCUGCCCACAUAAGACACUGUAACGUAUUGCCAGUCCAACAUCCAGAUGAUUUAACUCUCCUGCCUGAGCUCUGCCUACAGAGAGCAUUGGGACAUAUCCCUUCACCCAUCUUUCAGGUGAUGGGACUCUAUGUUCUUGCCUGGUCCCUGCUUACAAGGGAUAUUUUGACAUAUCACUGGGCCUAGCACCUAGCAGGUGUCUUUUCU